CAUGAUAACACGUGAUUCUGUGGAUUUACUGGGCUAAGCUGGGUGGUUCUUGUCUUGGGUCUCAGGCAGUUACUGACAGAUGGCAACUGGAACUGGAAUCAUCUACAGGCUUGACUAGGCUGGACAUCCACAAUGAUUCCUUUACUCUUAUGUGUGGUGAUUCUGAUGGGAUGGCUGGCACAGCUAGGGGCUACCUAGGCAUCUGUCUUUCUCCGUAUGGUAUCUUCACAUGGCUACUUUGUACUUCUUCACAGCACAGUAGUCUCUCCCACAAUAGUCUGAGAUAGGUGGUCUCAGGCAUCUCAUAUGACAUUUGGAUUUCCUCAAAGCAUACGCUCCAAGAGCAAGUGUUUCUAGAGGCUGAGGAAGAAUCCACAAGGAAGCAUGAGUUACUGGAAGGCCAUCUUUGGAGACAAGCUACUAUGGUUCCAAAUGACAAUAACGAUUCCAAAGGAGGAGGGGUCACUGUGUAGAGGACUAUUAGGGGGGCCACAUCACUGAGGAGGUGCAGCUUAAAUUGGAAGAAAUGUGAGUUCCACCUAAGGAGAGAGAAGAAAGACCUCAUGGUGAAAUGAACAUAUACUCUCAAGAGGAUCUGAGUUCAAUUCAUGCUUCUAUCACUUCAUAACCAUGUACCUUUGGAAGUAAUACCUCACAGGGUAGUUGAACAGAAUAGCAAAAACAUAUAUUAAAGCCUGGAUCAUAGCCAGAAAAAAAUAGAAAGGAAUUAUUAUUAUUAAUCACAAAAGAGGACAUUCCAAGCUGUGUAAAAAUUAGACACUAGGUACUUUGAGGACCCAAUGAGUGACCUACAACAUCACGU
rnacentral:lncRNA from 1 species